CUCUUGCUUGCAUGCUCGAUUGUGUCCAUAGCCAUAGUAUUGCGGGUUUCUGAAAUGUAGAGCUUGCAGAAGAUGAACUUGGAAUGCUUCAUGCUCAGCUUUGGCUUUGGCUUCACAGCAGAUGAACAAGAUAACUCAGGAAAACCUAAGCAUCCAUCUGGAUAAAGCCUGAAGACAGUAAUGCAGGAAUCCUACAUCAUCAGGAAAAUUUCUUGCGAGAACUAAAGCUCAUUGGACUCUGAUGAAUGGGAUGAAGCUUUCAGUUUGGGAAACAAAAAAACCCAAGAAAUGCUGAGGUUUGGACUUUGAACUAAAAAUCUGGGUAGCGAGGGGGAAAAUUCGUCUGGAACACGCGGGUGCUCUCAUCUUGCGGCUCUCAAGGGAACAGUGUUACUGCAUGAAGAGAAUCCCAUGCGUUUGGACGCCGGUGGUGUCAGCGUCCACGGUCCACACGCGUGGACACGGAUCCGCUUCGUGCCCUUGCGGAUAGGGUCGCCGUUUCAGCCAGUGGCAGUGGAUGGGGAUCACGGUUCACGUGCAUGCCUUCUACCUGUUGAGCAAAGCUUUGCUGUCGUUUUCCACGUUGGCCAGGCGCUACGAGUCCUAGCUGUACACACUGCACACCUCUUUGCACUCGUAUAUAUGAUAUGAUGCAUUCCAUUUCCAUGUAACCAAACGCUAAUCUAUCUCUAAAUCUUUAUUUGGACAGUCCUUUAAAUAAAAAAUGUAUAGAUAUUUUUUUCACUCCCUUUUUUUUUUGUAUAUCAUACACGUGCUCUGAAGAGCUAUCCAUCCUCUCCAUUUACCAUCUU